CCUACGGGUGGCAGCAGUGAGGAAUAUUGGUCAAUGGGCGCGAGCCUGAACCAGCCAAGUCGCGUGAGGGAAGACGGUCUUAUGGAUUGUAAACCUCUUUUGUCGGGGAGCAAAAGACGCCACGCGUGGCGUUCCGAGAGUACCCGAAGAAAAAGCAUCUGCUAACUCCGUGCCAGCAGCCGCGGUAAUACGGAGGAUGCGAACGUUAUCCGGAUUUAUUGGGUUUAAAGGGUGCGCAGGCGGAAGAUCAAGUCAGCGGUAAAAUUGAGAGGCUCAACCUCUUCGAGCCGUUGAAACUGGUGUUCUUGAGUGGGUGAGAAGUAUGCGGAAUGCGUGGUGUAGCGGUGAAAUGCAUAGAUAUCACGCAGAACUCCGAUUGCGAAGGCAGCAUACCGGCGCUCAACUGACGCUCAUGCACGAAAGUGUGGGUAUCGAACAGGAUUAGAUACCCGAGUAGUC
rnacentral:rRNA from 1 species